CGUGCCCGCUGCUCAGCCGGCCCCUGCAAAGCCCGGCGGGUUCGGGGCCUUUGCGAGGCCGUGAGAAGGUGUCGGGCCCGUGCUUCGCAGUUCAGCUGAUUAAAAACAUACAACUGCAUCAGUGAGCUGCAACAGAGGGGCGAUAUUAUAGUGAUUGCUACAGCUGCUCUUUCAAAGAACAGAUACGAGCGUAGAGAAGAAAUUAGCAAUCAUGUUCUUUGUGAAUAGCAAAGAGAGUGAGGACACAUCACAUUCAGUGGACAUCUGCAACAGCUGUGCUGCUAAGCCCAUGCUUGUGGUUGAGAUUGCGACUGAGCUUGUGAGGCGAGCUGUGAUUACCACUGGGAUCACCACCCUAUCUCCUUCCUCUUUCUGAAGCAGCUCCAGUGUGAAGAGGAUAUGCCCUCAUCUUAUGAAGUAUGACAAAAGUGCAGGGAAGUUGUUCAAGAGUUUGUGCUGAGUUUGUGACUCCAGUCUGAGGUUUUGGACUGACAAGCCCCUUUAACUUCUUGUCUGACUCAGUGAAGACGACAUGAAAUCUUCUGCAGACAGGAAAUCUUUUGCUGAGGGAGCAGUGGUAGAGUUGCACCACAGCUUUCCAGAAGACACUCCCAUGUCUGAGGAACAUGAAUGUUCAGAUUGAAGAGAGUUUUGAAAUAAUGGGCAGUUGAAAAGAGACUUUUAUAGUGCAAAAUGAUUCUAUGAUUCUAUGCUUCUGGUCAGCUAAGCAAGUUCUGGAGAUGACUGGUUCCUAAGUCAAAUGUUUUUGAAAACUGGAAUUUGUAACACAGUACUGAUAUUCAUUUCCCUUUAGAUUAUCUCUCCUAGGUAAACAUCACUGUAGCAAAUCUGAGACUCUUCCUCUAUACAUGCAAAUUAACCAGCUAAAUUAUAAUUUAAAUUUGAAUUAAAAAUUCGAAUAGUUUUAAAAGUCUCUAUACAGGGGGAAAUACAAAUGGCAUUCUCAUUGCUGCUUCCUAAAAAUACUGAGUAAAGAGGUUUAAGCCCAGUGUAAUUUAAGGUUGCAUUGAAAAAAAAUGGGCACAGAUGAAAGGACAUCCACAUGCCAUAAGAUUCCAAGGGAAAUAUUUAAAGGUUAGCAAUUCUUAUAAGUUGUCUGCUCUUUGAAAUACGAUCCUUAUGGAAAUUCAUAUUCUCAUGAAAAUUUCAACCAACUCCUAACAGACUAAAACUGAAGAAAAUCUGUCUGGUUUUGAUUUUAACUGGAGUCAAAGCUGUUCUUUCAGUAUUGGGCAACUUCAAGGAAACUGACUCUCAUAGCUAAAGCUAAUUUUUUUUCUGAAAUGUUGGAUAGAUCAGGGCAUCAGAGUCAAGGUUCUGAUUGUAAUGAAUGCCUCUCUAACCAACUUCAUGUAAUCAUGUGCACACAUAACUUUUUAAACUAAUUUUGUCUACCAGUUUACACUGAUAUAUGCAGAGUGAGGAAGUGUCACAUACUGCAGGAGGGAGGGAGUGUAGGUUCCACUUGAUUUUGUUUUGUUUAAGCUUGAAUUUGAACUCUGGAUGUAGGAUUUUCCAAAGAAUAUCUGUCUUGGGUACUUUUGAGGCAGAGACACUUGUGAAAUGGAGAACAUCUGGUUCAACAUUGUUAAUCUCCAUUUGAAGAAUGCCAUUUAGUUAUUACUCAGACUUUAUGGUGAAAAGAAAAUGUUUUGUUUUUCAACACUGUCUGUUCUUUUUCUGACUUUGAAACUUUUCUGGGAUAGUGGAGUGGAAAUAUAAAUAUGAUGAAUAUCUUAUGCAAAUGAAUUUUUUUGGUCUCUGUAACUGAAAAAUGUUUUGUUUUUUUUAGUGCUAGCUUGGCUGAAAAGAUAGGUUACUCUAAAUAGCAAAUUACAGUUCUGCUUGCUUUAUUGUGGGGCUAUAGUAUGCAAAUUUGCAGUGUAAACUGUUGCAUUCAAAUGAGAGAAAACGAGGGCUAGGGAAGCUUGCCUGGUUUUUCACCUGCUGCAGUGAACUUCUGACUUCACAGAAUUUGUGUAAAGCCUAGCAAAGCAUUAAAGUUUUACAGCUACUGGUCUUUCAUCAAAUCAUUGGUAGCAACCAGUGACUGAAAUACCAGUUGCUCCCUUGGGUUUCAUAUACUCAGCACAAGAAUAUAAUUUGACUUUCACUCUUUCCCAUUAUCCUUUCGCUCCCAUUUAAUAAAAAAUUACCAAACGCUUUGUAAGGUCUACAUUGUAAUAUACUUUGUCAGUCUCCCAUAACUGUCUCCAAUAAGGAGAAUGAAAUGUUUACUUUUCUCUUUCUUUUUUUAAAUUUUUUUAAUAAGCCCUUUAUAUGGCACUUAACAAUGACAUUUUUUCUUCCACAGUACUCUGCUAACUGGGCAAAUGAUAAUUUUGUUCAUAACACAGAUUAAGAUAAUGUACAUUUUAGUAACAUUCCCCAUUAAACAAUGCUUUUACCUUUUGAAUUUCCUCUACCCAAUCUUUUUGUUCCAGGAACUUUGCUCUUGAGGUUAGUUGCCAAACAUAGGAAGAGGUAGUUUGCAUCAAAGGUUCUGCCCUGUUAUUGAAAAAGGUUAAAAAUAUGAGAACGCUCACUUUUUUAUUUCAAAGUUUAAUUCUUAUUUCAUUUAUC